AAGAAAAUGCAAGGGAAGAGGUUUUAGAGGAAAUGUCAUUUACAAAUGCAAAUGAACAGUGUCGAAUGGCAAUUUUGAGUCUUCCCCUAGAACCCCCACCUAUACUAAAAGAUAUGCUUCAAGUCUGUAACAGGAAAGCGCCUCUGAUGAGUGUUACUGAAGACGCCAGGUCAAGGCUCCCUCAGCGUGUCGCCGUUGCCAGCCCUGCGCCCAUUCCCUCAGAACAGCAGCACCCUGGGCAGCAGCGAAGACCAGCAAUGGUCUCAGAGAAAUCUACAGAAGCGCCCCAGGUUGCUAAUGCUGCCUGGAGAAGAAAACGCCGUGCGCGUUCUCUAGAAGAAAUUCCAUUUAAGCCUCCUAUCUGGAAUAGUUUGUAAUAUGUUUGUCUUAAGUUUCCUUUCACCACUGUAAAUCCCACUGUUGGUGUGCAGUCUCGAGACGCCAUGAGACCGAGCCUGUUCCUCGCCCUACUCGCAAUCAUUUCUCCAGUGAUCUCCUGGAUAGUCCCUCAACCCAAAGCGAACAUACAUCAAGAGAGAAACUGACGACUAGCUGAGUGGACUGUUCAAAAGCUGGGGACUCUUGGGCUGGUUGAGAUCUAAGCUGAAAACUCUGUUUUUAGUACUGUUUAUUUUAGUUAUUGUUAUUGUAGUUGUUAGCAUUGUUUUUAGUUUAAUCAAACGCAUGGUUCUCAAGUUGAUUUCAAGCUCACCUCCCCCUCCUGAAGUUUACCAUUUAGAAGCCCUUAGUGCUCCAAUAGACGACAUAGAAGCCUCAGUGGAAAACACUGACCCUCCUGCAGAGGAGGAGCCAAUUUACCAACCAUGGUUUGGCAAAAUUUCUGCACCACGAACUCAGUCCUCUUCUUUUUAAACAAAACUAGGGGGAGAUGUUGUGGUGUGAAGUCAUAUCCUGUCCCUUAGCUGUGACUACUUCCUCCUUCCCUUCCCCCUGCCCUCUUCCUAAUUGCUGUCUGUCAAGUUCCACAUUCCAGCAAGGGCAUCGUGUGAUUGGCAGAAAUUCAAAAGAUGCUUCUCAGACCUGGAGUCAUUGGCCUGUCCAGAUGUCAUUGUCCCCUGAGACCCUCCUCCUUCACACCUGGUUGGUAGCUCACCUAUCCUCUCCCUCCCACCUCCCUGUGAGUUUAAAAGGCGCUGGAAAGAUGUGGUCGUGCUCUGUUGGAGCUGUUACUGAGAUUCAGAACUGUGUCACCUUGGAAUAAACUCUGGAUUUAACCCUCCGGCAGAACCCGCUCUCUUUCUCUUCACCAUCGCCUGAACUUUUUCCACUAGAGUGACCAUUUCCGAAGAAUGUCCAGAACAACACCGAAACAACACCUGGGAGAGAUUACAUCAGAUAACGGCUGCGUCCUGGCUACAGCUGAAAGGAAGACAAUUUCGAGGAGCCCAGACAGCCAUCCAAGCCUAUGGACUGACUUUUGUACUGGACUGAAUUUGUAAAGUUCCCGUUAUACAUAUGUAAGAACUUACAGAAAUCUUAAAUCAUUUCUGCUGUAGGCGGAAUAAACUGUAUAUGAGCUGGAUACCUGGAGCAGUUGGUGUGACACUCUGGGGAGACGCUGACACUAUGUCAGUUCAACCCAAGUUCACCCAGCGUCAAAGUCCGGGGUUGGCGGUGUCUGGGCUGUGGCAAUUUUAUAAUAUUCUAUUUUUUGGUUUUCGAUCUAAUAAAUUUAUAAAAUAUUUUUUAUAAA